GCCCGCCUAGCUCAAUCGGAUAGAGCGUCAGACUCUUAGGCGGGUUUGAUUACCCAAGUGUGAUCUGAAGGCUGCGAGUUCGACCCUCGCGGUGGGCU